rnacentral:rRNA from 1 species
CGACGGCAGCACGGGAGCAAUCCUGGUGGCGAGUGGCGAACGCGUGAGUAAUGUAUCGGAACGUACCUUUCAGUGGGGGAUAACGUAGCGAAAGUUACGCUAAUACCGCAUAUUCUGCGAGCAGGAAAGCAGGGGAUCGCAAGACCUUGCGUUGAUUGAGCGGCCGAUAUCAGAUUAGCUAGUUGGUGAGGUAAAGGCUCACCAAGGCGACGAUCUGUAGCGGGUCUGAGAGGAUGAUCCGCCACACUGGAACUGAGACACGGUCCAGACUCCUACGGGAGGCAGCAGUGGGGAAUUUUGGACAAUGGGGGCAACCCUGAUCCAGCCAUGCCGCGUGAGUGAAGAAGGCCUUCGGGUUGUAAAGCUCUUUCAGCCGGGAAGAAAACGCAUGGGUUAAUACCCUGUGUGGAUGACGGUACCGGAAUAAGAAGCACCGGCUAACUACGUGCCAGCAGCCGCGGUAAUACGUAGGGUGCGAGCGUUAAUCGGAAUUACUGGGCGUAAAGCGUGCGCAGGCGGUUUGUUAAGAUAGGCGUGAAAACCCCGGGCUCAACCUGGGAACUGCGUUUAUGACUGGCAGGCUAGAGUAUGGCAGAGGGGGGUGGAAUUCCACGUGUAGCAGUGAAAUGCGUAUAGAUGUGGAGGAACACCGAUGGCGAAGGCAGCCCCCUGGGCCAAUACUGACGCUCA